rnacentral:rRNA from 1 species
GAUGAACGCUGGCGGCGUGCCUAAUACAUGCAAGUCGAGCGAACAGAUAAGGAGCUUGCUCCUUUGACGUUAGCGGCGGACGGGUGAGUAACACGUGGGUAACCUACCUAUAAGACUGGGAUAACUUCGGAAACCGGAGCUAAUACGGGUAACAUUUUGAACCCCCUUGUUUUAAAGGGAAAAAUGGUUUUUCUUACCCUUUUAGGUUGGCCCGCGCCGUAUUAGCUAGUUGGUUAGGUAACGGCUUACCAAGGCGACGAUACGUAGCCGACCUGAGAGGGUGAUCGGCCACACUGGAACUGAGACACGGUCCAGACUCCUACGGGAGGCAGCAGUAGGGAAUCUUCCGCAAUAGGCGAAAGCCUGACGGAGCAACGCCGCGUGAGUGAUGAAGGGUUUCGGCCCGUAAAACUCUGUUAUUAGGGAAGAACAAAUGUGUAAGUAACUGUGCACGUCUUGACGGUACCUAAUCAGAAAGCCACGGCUAACUACGUG